rnacentral:rRNA from 2 species
UGAGGAAUAUUGGUCAAUGGUCGGAAGACUGAACCAGCCAAGUAGCGUGAAGGAUGAAGGUUCUAUGGAUUGUAAACUUCUUUUAUAUAGGAAUAAAACCUCCCACGUGUGGGAGCUUGUAUGUACUAUAUGAAUAAGCAUCGGCUAACUCCGUGCCAGCAGCCGCGGUAAUACGGAGGAUGCGAGCGUUAUCCGGAUUUAUUGGGUUUAAAGGGAGCGUAGACGGGAUGUUAAGUCAGCUGUGAAAGUUUGGGGCUCAACCUUAAAAUUGCAGUUGAUACUGGCGUCCUUGAGUGCGGUUGAGGUAUGUGGAAUUCGUGGUGUAGCGGUGAAAUGCUUAGAUAUCACGAAGAACUCCGAUUGCGAAGGCAGCAUACUAAGCCGCUACUGACGUUGAGGCUCGAAAGUGUGGGUAUCAAACAGG